ACGUAGGAGACGAACGUUAUCCGGAGUUACUGGGCGUAAAGGGCGUGCAGGCGGUCUGAUAAGUUCGGCGUGAAAUUUCCCGGCUUAACCGGGGGAUGUCGUCGGAGACUGUCGGACUAGAGGGUGAUAGAGGCGUGUGGAAUUCCGGGUGUAGUGGUGAAAUGCGUAGAGAUCCGGAGGAACACCAGUGGCGAAGGCGACACGCUGGGUCACACCUGACGCUAAGACGCGACAGCAUGGGGAGCGAACGGGA
rnacentral:rRNA from 1 species